GAUGAACGCUAGCGGGAGGCUUAAUACAUGCAAGUCGUACGGUAACAGCAGAGCUUGCUCUGGCUGACGAGUGGCGGACGGGUGAGUAACGCGUACACGAUCUACCUAUAAGUCUGGGAUAGUCACUGGAAACGGUGAAUAAUAUCGGAUGUGGAUAUUUUGCUGCAUGGCAGGAUAUUUAAAGGCUAGACUGCUUAUAGAUGGGUGUGCGUCCUAUUAGUUUGUUGGUGAGGUAACGGCUCACCAAGGCGAUGAUAGGUAGGGGGCGUGAGAGCGUGGACCCCCACACGGGUACUGAGACACGGACCCGACUCCUACGGGAGGCAGCAGUAAGGAAUAUUGGACAAUGGGCGAGAGCCUGAUCCAGCCAUCCCGCGUGCAGGAAGAAUGCCCUAUGGGUUGUAAACUGCUUUUAUAAGGGAAGAACAGCCCCGAUUGAUCGGGGUAUGACGGUACCUUAGGAAUAAGCACCGGCUAACUCCGUGCCAGCAGCCGCGGUAAUACGGAGGGUGCAAGCGUUAUCCGGAAUCACUGGGUUUAAAGGGUGCGUAGGCGGCUAUGUAAGUCAGAGGUGAAAGGUCACAGCUCAACUGUGAGAUGGCCUUUGAAACUGCAUAGCUUGAAUCAGAUAGAGGUUAGUGGAAUGCGACAUGUAGCGGUGAAAUGCAUAGAUAUGUCGUGGAAUACCGAUUGCGAAGGCAGCUAACUGGGUCUUGAUUGACGCUGAGGCACGAAAGCGUGGGGAGCGAACAGG
rnacentral:rRNA from 1 species